rnacentral:snoRNA from 1 species
GUCUGCGUGAUGAUCAUAACAUAUCACGACGGUCUCCUGAGCCAUAUGCUUUGAUGAUACUGCCUUUGACAAGGCCCCUUACUGAUU